rnacentral:rRNA from 1 species
AACGAACGCUGGCGGCAGGCUUAACACAUGCAAGUCGAGCGCCCCGCAAGGGGAGCGGCAGACGGGUGAGUAACGCGUGGGAAUCUACCCAUCUCUACGGAAUAACGCAUGGAAACGUGUGCUAAUACCGUAUACGUCCUUCGGGAGAAAGAUUUAUCGGAGGUGGAUGAGCCCGCGUUGGAUUAGCUAGUUGGUGGGGUACCGGCCUACCACGCCGACGAUCAGUAGCCGACUUGAGAGGGUGACCGGACAACUUGGGACUGAGACACGGACCAAACACCUACGGGAGGCAGCAGUGGGGAAUAUUGCACAAUGGGGGAAACCCUGAUGCAGCGACGCCGCGUGAGCGAUGAAGGCCUUAGGAUUGUAAAGAUCUUUCAGUGGGGAAGAUAAUGACUGUACCCACAGAAGAAGCCCCGGCUAACUCCGUGCCAGCCGCCGCGGUAACAC